GUCGAGGGGCAGCAUUUCUAGCUUGCUAGAAGAUGGCGACCGGCGGACGGGUGCGUAACGCGUAUGCAACUUACCUACAUCUUAGGAAUAACGUAAAGAAAUUUUCGCUAAUACCUUAUAGUAUCAUUGAUUCGCAUGUUUUAAUGAUUAAAGAAUUUCGGAUGUAGAUAGGCAUGCGUCCUAUUAGUUAGUUGGUGAGGUAACGGCUCACCAAGACGACGAUAGGUAGGGGGCCUGAGAGGGUGAUCCCCCACACUGGUACUGAGACACGGACCAGACUCCUACGGGAGGCAGCAGUGAGGAAUAUUGGUCAAUGGAGGCAACUCUGAACCAGCCAUCCCGCGUGAAGGAUUGAUGGCGCUCGACGUCGUAAACUUCUUUUAUAUAGGAAUAAACCUUGGUACGUGUACCAAGCUGAAGGUACUAUAUGAAUAAGCAUCGGCUAACUCCGUGCCAGCAGCCGCGGUAAUACGGAGGAUGCGAGCGUUAUCCGGAUUUAUUGGGUUUAAAGGGUCCGCAGGCGGACCAAUCAGUCAGUGGUGAAAUCCAAUCGCUUAACGAUUGAACUGCCAUUGAUACUGUUGGUCUUGAGUCUAGUUGACGUAGGCGGAAUGUGACAUGUAGCGGUGAAAUGCAUAGAUAUGUCACAGAACA
rnacentral:rRNA from 1 species